rnacentral:sRNA from 2 species
CGGAUGUGACCGCCGAGUCCACGCGAGUGGAGCCGGGGACCCACUUCGGUGCUCCCCGCCGCGGGGUGAAUCGCUCCGGAACCGGAGCGUAGGGCGUCUCUUUCCGCCCGAACCCGUCAGCUAACCCGGUAGGCGGACGAGGGAGAGGGC